GAGAUGGCCAAGUCCCUCUCUCUCUCUCUCUCUCUCUCUCUCUCUCUCUCUCUCUCUCUCUCUCUCUCUCUCUCUCUCUCUCUCUCUCUCUCACACACACACACACACACACACACACACACACACUGCCUCAGUUUUCUCAUCUGUAAGAUGAGUACUUGGGCAGAAGGAUGACCUCUGAGCUCCCUUACAGCGCUAGAUCUAGUGAGAUCACUCAUGCAAUGCGCUUUGCAGUAGGGCUAUCUAUGAUCUGAGGCUCGGAUCCUGUGACGUCAUUCUUUGCCGGACUGAGCACUAGGGGCUGGACACUGAGUUCCUGGAAGCACCAGAAACAUCUGCUGGUAAACGGGGUAUUUAUUUUGCGUAUGUUUUACAGUCACUUCUCUAUAUACCCCGGUUUUACCUCUCCCUCCCACCUCCCAACGUCAGAAGCGCCUUGAGGGCAGGAACCGCCUAGGUUUAGGCUCCGUACCCCCUGCGCUAGCCCACGCUGUAGGUGCUGAACAGAGGCCAGGUUAAGGCUGGGUGAAUUGGACUGGCUUGUGCGCCUGCGCGCCAGCCCCAAGACUACAAUUCCUAGCACCGAGGAACUCUCGGGGUCCGAUGGACCCUAGGAAGGUCCACGCUGACUCUGAGCAGGCGCAGUUGGGGAGAUGUCUAUUUCAACCCUUUUCCUCGGGAUUUAGGUGGAGGUGGAGCGACGCUGUCCGCCACGUGGAUCUCCGAUCCUUGGAACUUACUAUGAGCAAAGGAAUGGGUUCUUCAGUGCCAAUAUCCAUGAGCCCUUUCUCCAAUUCUAGGAAAAGGUGCAUCUGCUCUUGGCUUCCUUUGACCUCUCCCUCUAUAAGGAUCAUGGGACUCCCACCUAGAUGGUCUGUUGGGAAUUCUAUCUUUGUGAAUUUGGGAGGUAUAAGUAGGACCUUUUUUCAUCAUAACUUUUUUUUUCCUGUUUCAGGGCUGCCAUCUUGAGACUCUACCCUUUACCAAAAAGGGAGAAUUGAAGAGGAAGUGACUUCUGGACUCCUAAGAGCCUUAUCUCAGGUGAAUUGAGAUUUCCUUUCUUUCUUGAAGUAUAGUCUGAUUUUUCAAUCCAUGUUUCUUUCCUUUUUCCGUCUUCUUUUGUGUUUAGCCAAGGCCCUGAACAUCAGUUGUCCUCCCUCCAAAGACUGUUUCUCUUCUCACAAAUAAUAGUAGGAUUCUUAGAGUUCAAAGAUCGUUAGAGCUUAGCCUAGCUGUCUAUGCUAUGCUCAUAAGUGGCUGGACGUGGGCUAGAAUUAGACUAGAACUCAAGCUCCUGACAUGUAAAUCAUUUUUCUUUUUUUUUAUAUCAUGGUGCUCUCUAGGAAAUUUUCCUACAGUCUGUUCUCUCUUCCUGUUGAACGUUUAUUCAUACAUUUGAUUCAACCCACUGUAUAUUCAGUAUUG
rnacentral:lncRNA from 1 species